rnacentral:rRNA from 1 species
GAUGAACGCUGGCGGCGUGCCUAAUACAUGCAAGUCGAGCGAACAGACGAGGAGCUUGCUCCUCUGACGUUAGCGGCGGACGGGUGAGUAACACGUGGAUAACCUACCUAUAAGACUGGGAUAACUUCGGGAAACCGGAGCUAAUACCGGAUAAUAUAUUGAACCGCAUGGUUCAAUAGUGAAAGACGGUUUUGCUGUCACUUAUAGAUGGAUCCGCGCCGCAUUAGCUAGUUGGUAAGGUAACGGCUUACCAAGGCGACGAUGCGUAGCCGACCUGAGAGGGUGAUCGGCCACACUGGAACUGGGACACGGUCCAGACUCCUACGGGAGGCAGCAGUAGGGAAUCUUCCGCAAUGGGCGAAAGCCUGACGGAGCAACGCCGCGGGAGUGAUGAAGGUCUUCGGAUCGUAAAACUCUGUUAUUAGGGAAGAACAAAUGUGUAAGUAACUAUGCACGUCUUGACGGUACCUAAGCAGAAAGCCACGGCUAACUACGU